rnacentral:tRNA from 1 species
GCGGGUGUAGCUCAGUUGGUUAGAGCGUCGGAUUGUGGCUCCGAAGGUCGUGGGUUCGACCCCCAUCACUCGCCCCA